UGGUAGUNCACGCCGUAAACGAUGAGUGCUAGGUGUUAGGCCCUUUCCGGGGCUUAGUGCCGGAGCUAACGCAAUAAGCACUCCGCCUGGGGAGUACGACCGCAAGGUUGAAACUCAAAGGAAUUGACGGGGGCCCGCACAAGCGGUGGAGCAUGUGGUUUAAUUCGAAGCAACGCGAAGAACCUUACCAGGUCUUGACAUCCCGAUGCUAUUCUUAGAGAUAGGAAGUUACUUCGGUACAUCGGAGACAGGUGGUGCAUGGUUGUCGUCAGCUCGUGUCGUGAGAUGUUGGGUUAAGUCCCGCAACGAGCGCAACCCUUAUUGUUAGUUGCCAUCAUUAAGUUGGGCACUCUAGCGAGACUGCCGGUAAUAAACCGGAGGAAGGUGGGGAUGACGUCAAAUCAUCAUGCCCCUUAUGACCUGGGCUACACACGUGCUACAAUGGUCGGUACAACGAGUUGCGAGCCGGUGACGGCAAGCUAAUCUCUGAAAGCCGAUCUCAGUUCGGAUUGGAGGCUGCAACUCGCCUCCAUGAAGUCGGAAUCGCUAGUAAUCGCGGAUCAGCACGCCGCGGUGAAUACGUUCCCGGGCCUUGUACACACCGCCCGUCACACCACGAGAGUUUGUAACACCCGAAGUCGGUGAGGUAACCUUUUAGG
rnacentral:rRNA from 1 species